GUGGCUCCAGGUUUGUUUUUCUCCGGUACAGCCUGGUAGGGAGGGCUCCCGGCAUCUCCCUGCUUCGGGGCAGAGGAUGCCGGGGGUAGAGUACGGGAGGGCUGGAGCGAGGGUGGACUGGAGGUGCCGCUUGUCCUGGAGGUGGGAGAGAGGGAGCGGCUUUGCCGCCUGGCCUGCGUCCUAAUCCUGUCCUGGUUCUUCUGCUCCCGAAGGGAACGUAGGUCCCGCGCCUGUGAUAAGUAAGGUUGGAUUUUCUCUUCCCUGAGGUGAAGGAUGCCCGGAGGCCUCGGCAGGACCGUGCGGAAACGGGCCUUCUGCCCAAAAGAUGCUGCUUCUCUCCUUAUUCUUUCCCCUCAGAAUCUCGCUGUCUCCUUCCAACCACCUGUGGUCGGCAUCCCCGCGUUGUCACUGCGACGCAGAGGUCGCAGCUUCAUGGCCUGAUGCCUUCAGGAAGUAUUUUGAAGUCAUCGUGGCUGUGGAUUGGGGGAUUUCUUGUUUCCACUGACCUGUGAGGCCGCGCACGUGGAGGGAGGCACCCCGGGUCCUCCGGCACUGUCCGGCCUCGCCUGUGUCCCUAGUAGCAGUGGGCAUUUCCAGACGGUGCAGCUUGUGGCUAAAGUGACAGGAAGAUGUAGGAGCUUUCAGUCUUGGAUGAGGAUUCGAACUGAAGGGCUUAGGCCCAGCUGUCUUGGAGCAAAACAUCUGUUGUGGGAUGUGGCGGCAGAGGAGGGCAAGGCCGAAGGAGCAGACAGCACCGCUUCUUGGGGAGUUGUGAAGGCAUCAUGCGGAGGGCCGAGCUUAGCAGCCAAGUGGAGGACAGCACCCUCCAUGCCUGGAUUCGUUACUCGCUCGUUCUCGAUGUUGAGCUGCUGGCAUAUUGCAGCACAACUAGAGAUGUACGGAUGCCCCCAUCUUGAUCUUACAGAAUCAGAGGUGCAGCCGCAAGAAAGGUCUAGUCAAGAACAGACACUGAGUCGCUUGAGGACUCAGGCAGGUGUUUGCUGCAUUGACAACAGAUGGAAUAUGAUCACAUCCCAGGGAUCAGUGUCAUUUAGGGAUGUGACUAUGGGCUUCACUCAAGAGGAGUGGCAUCAUCUGGACCCUGCUCAGAGGACCCUGUAGAGGAAUGUGAUGCUGGAGAACUACAGCCACCUUGUCUCAGUAGGGUAUUGCAUUCCUAAACCAGAAGUGAUCCUCAAAUUGGAGACAGGCAAGGAGCCAUGGAUAUUAGAGGAAAAAUUUCGAAGCCAGAGUCAUCUGGAAUUAAUUAAUACCAGUAGAAACUAUUCAAGAAUGAAGUUCAAUGAGUUUAACAAAGGUGGAAAAUGUUUCUGUGAUGAAAGCAUGAAAUAAUUCAUUUUGAAGAGGAACCUUCUGAAUAUAAUAACAAUGGGAACAGCUUCUGGCUGAAUGAAGACCUCAUUUGGCAUCAGAAGAUUAAAAAUUGGGAGCAACCUUUUGAAUACAAUGAAUGUGGGAAAGCUUUCCCUGAGAAUUCACUCUUCCUUGUACAUAAGAGAGCUUACACAGGACAGAAAACAUGCAAAUAUACUGAACAUGGGAAAACCUGUUAUAUGUCAUUUUUUAUUACUCAUCAGCAAACACAUCCAAGAGAGAACCACUAUGAAUGUAAUGAAUGUGGAGAAAGUAUCUUUGAGGAAUCCAUUCUCUUUGAACAUCAGAAUGUUUACCCAUUCAGCCAGAAUUUAAAUCCCACUCUAAUUCAGAGAACCCACUCAAUUAGCAAUAUUAUUGAAUAUAAUGAAUGUGGAACCUUUUUCAGUGAAAAAUUAGCCCUUCAUUUACAACAGAGAACACAUCCAGGGGAAAAACCUUAUGAAUGUCAUGAAUGUGGAAAAACCUUCACCCAGAAGUCAGCCCACACAAGACAUCAGAGAACACACACAGGGAAAACCCUAUGAAUGUCACGGAUGUGGGAAGACCUUCUAUAAGAAUUCAGACCUCAUUAGAAAUCAAAGAAUUCACACAGGGGAGAGACCUUACAGAUGUCAUGAAUGGAGAAAUCCUUCAGUGAAAAGUCAUCCCUUACUCAAAAUCAGAGAACACACGUGGGGAGAAAUCAUGAAUGUCAUGAAUGUGGGAAAACCUCGUUUAAGUCAGUUCUAACUGUGCAUCAGAAAACACACAGGGGAGAAGCCCUAUGAAUGCUAUGCAUGUGGCAACACCUUUCUCAGAAAAUCCGACCUCAUUAAACAUCAGAGAAUUCACACAGGAGAAAAACCUUAUGAAUGUAAUGAAUGUGGGAAGUCAUUCUCCGAGAAGUCAACCCUUACUAAACAUCUAAGAACACACAGAUGGGAAAUCUUAUGCAUGUAUUCAAUGUGGAAAAUUUUUCUGCUGCUACUACAGUUUCACAGAACAUCUGAGAAGACACACAGGGGAGAAACCUUUUGGAUGUAAUGAAUGUGGGAAAACCUUCCAUCAGAAGUUGGCCCUAAUUGUUCACCAGAGAACUCAUAUAAGACAGAAACCCUAUGGAUGUAAUGAAUGUGGAAAAUCAUUCUGUGUGAAGUCAAAACUCAUUGCACAUCAUAGAACAUACACAGGGGAGAAACCCUAUGAAUGUAA
ensembl:lncRNA ZNF37BP zinc finger protein 37B, pseudogene